UUUAGACAAGGUGGUCAGGGCAAGCCUCUCAGAAGAGGUGAUAAGUGUUCAGAGACCUGACUAAAGCGAGAGAGUGAGCUAUUGACGUGGAGAAGGGCAUUUCAGACUCUGAAGAGAAAGCAGGGGCAGGCUUUGGAGGGAGAGCUUAUUUAUAUAGAUGAGGAGGGGCAAAGAGUCUUGUGGAUAAAGCAGAAUGAACAAGAGUAAGUGGGAUUGUAAAUGAAAUUGGAGAGAGAAGCAGGGGUCAGAGCAUGGCAAGAUCUUGAGAUUUUAUUCUAAAUACAGGAAGAUGGUGGUUAUAUUUGAGAAAGGAAAUGAUAUAAGCUAAAUUUUCUUUUCAAAAGGAUUCCUUUGGCUACUGAGUAAAGAGGAAUUUUAGGAAAAAAGAAUGGGGACAAAAAAUCCAUUGUAGGAUAAAACAAUCCAGAAAGACAUGAUGGGGCUUAGACUAGGAAAUGGAGAUGCUGAGAAGGAUUUGAAUUCUGGACCUAUUGUGAAGGCAGAGCUGACAAGAUUUGCUGAUAGAUUGAUAUUGUGAUAUAAAAGCAAGAGAUCAGAAAUGACUCUAGAUUAUUUUACCUAAACCAUGAAGUAAAUGAUGGUACAGCUGACUGAGAUGGUGAACAAUGGGUUAGAAGAACACUGGGGAGAAAAUCAUGUUUGUUUUUGGAAUAUCAGUUGGAGAUGUUUAUUAGAUAUCCAAGUGGAGGCGGGGCACAGUGGCUCACGCCUGUAAUCCCAGCACUUUGGGAGGCCAAGGCGGGCAGAUCACGAGGUCAGGAGAUCGAGACUAUCCUAGCUAACAUGGUGAAACCCCUUCUUUACUAAAAAUACAAAAAAUUAGCCGGGUAUGGUGGCACGUGCCUGUGGUCCCAGCUACUCAGAGGCUGAGGCAGGAGAAUUGUUUGAACCCGAGAGGUGGGGGUUGCAGUGAGCCGAUAUCAAGCCACUGCACUCCGGCCUGGGUGACAGAGUGAGACUCCAUCUCAAAAAAAAAAAAAAAAAAAAAAUCCACGUAGAGUAGCAGGAGUGUCUUGUAAGCUGGAGUUCAAGGAAGAGGUUGAGCUGAAACAGAAAUCUGAGAGUAAUCAGUUUAUAAAUAGUAUUAAAAGUCAUGAGUCUGUAUGAGCCCACCAAAAGACAAUGUAGUUAAGGAAGAGAAAACCAAAGAUGGCGAUGCCUCUCACUCCAACAUACAGACCUCAGAAAACAGGAGGGUAUUCCAGAAUGUUCAGUGAGGUAGAGGGAAAACCAGGAGUGUGCUGUCCUGCAAGCCAAGUAAAGAAGGUGUUUCAAAAGUGAGGGAAUGGGCAGGGGUGGAUUGUUAUUGAGAGGCUGAGCAAAAUGGGAACUGAAGAUUCACAGUCAGACUAAGUCUGAAGGUCAUCGAUGACCCCAAUGAGAGCAGUUUCUAUGCAGUAUUGAGCAAGAAAAGAGUAACUCGAGUGAGUUCAAGAAAACAUGGGAAGUGAGGAAGUAGAAAUGGAUACAGAAAAUUCAAAAUAUUUUCCUACAAAGUGCAGCAGAAGAAUGAUGUAAAAGUUGGAGAUAAAUGUGAGAUUGAGAGAAUUUUUUAAAAGCUAAUAUAGCAUGUGUAAUAGUGCUGAUGGGGCCAACAGAGAGAUAGCAAAACUGAUAAUGCAAAAGAGAAAGGGAUAUUUAUUUGACAGAGUAACAUGCUUGAAAAGGGUUGAGGGACAGGCUCCAGUACGUGAGCAGAGGCGCUGGUCCUGCACAGUAACUGUAGCAGGCAGUGAGGUGGUGUGCACAGAGGCAGGUAGUUUGGGAAUAUGGUGACGUGAUGGGCAUAAGUACAUACUCAUCUGAUUUUUGUUUUGGUCUCAGUAAGAUAGAAGUAAGGUCGUCAGUAGACAAUGAAGAGUUUGUGGAAGUUUGAGAAGUGUGAAAUUGACCUUGGAAACUGUGACAAUAAGUUACUGGACAGUGAUGAAAACCAUGUGAGCCAUAUUCAUAUAAAUACAAAGGAACACAGGUCAACAUGGUGGUCUUUUGUUCUUCAGUCAUGUUUAGUAUUUUUAGGCACAUGUUAAGAGUAAGAAAAAUUAGUUUUAGUUUUAUAGAGUUGCAUUUUGUUUCUUUUUAAUUCUCGAAAGAGUAGUACAUUGCUGAGAGAGUAGACAAUGGGAUUUGGAAAUGGGGCAAGAGAAUAAUUAUGAGAAGGAACCAUAGAAGCUAAGCUGGUCAAGGAGGGAAGUAAUGAAAUGGGGGAUGAUAGUCGGUGAAAACUUACCAAGUUGGAGUGAUGGUGCUAAGGGGAGUGACUAGAGAGGGAAGAAGUGAUGACCACAGCGUGGGAUGCUGAAAUGGAACUGUUGGCGAUGCCAGUGAUUAGUCAUGACACAGUACGCAGUAUAACCAUGAGUGUGGUGGCUGAUGUUCAGGCAGCGGCAGAACAAGAUUUUUAAAAGUCGUCAAGGAGCUGAGUGGCCAAGAUGGUGAAUGGAGUAUGAAUGGGGAGGGUGAGUGGGUUACGUGCUAGAAUAUCCAGUGCUUGUAAGAAGGUCAUUAGAGAGGAAGAAGGAUUAAAGUUCUGAAAGUAGCUGCAAACAGCAAAGCAAGAUCUAUCUCCCCUUUAGGCCAAUGAUAUGCAGGUUGUAGAGAGGAAGACAGCUAGGCUUGAGAGGGCUGCAGGGAAAGUGGUGUCUUCAGGAGGCAACCAUGAUUCAGAGAAGAGGACAUAGGGGAGGGUGAUGGCAGCUGUAACAUCUAGAGGGGAUAAUGGAAAGGUCCUAGGCAGGGGGAGGCCAUUGGAGAUAGAAGCAAAUGAGAGAAUACUCUGGGCAAUAUGGGGAUAAGCAAAUAGAUGAAGGAAAAAUGGCAUGGGAACUUAGACUAUUUUGGCAACAGGUAACCAGCAAUGAGGGCACGAUGGCAUGACCCUAGGGAUCACUUCAGUGUGGUGCAUAAUUAAUCUAGUGACUCAUGAGGGGGUAGGGAACAGGGAAUGGGUGUGUGGAGAAGAGAGAGCUGGGAUGGACAUCCUCUAUCCACAAGAACAGGUGGGAUGCUAGGGGCCUCCCCCAGAAGUAAGAGACAGUUUUGCUCAAAGAAAAUGAUGCCAAUUUGGUUUGCCCCCUAACAAUUCACUGUUCUCCUGUUGCCCUUACUCCCUAUUUAAGAAAAGGCUGGCCUCACCGUGGCUUAUCCCUCGAGAGGCCGUACAGACAGCAGCUAUACAGAAGUUCAUAAGUAAAGAGUAUCAUUCAGCCCUGGACCUGAGCCACAAAUGGUGCUUUAACAACCACACUUUUCAUCAGCUAAACUUUUUACUGGAAGAUCUACAGUAGGUUCAGUAGAUUUUAGCUGCCUGGGGAACUGUUAGUUCUCCAAGUCACUUCAGAGCAAGAGGCCCUUAAGCUGGGCAGUUCUAACUUUCAACUCAUUCCCCACUUGUGCAGUUAAGAAGACUAUAAAGAGAAUAAUGAAACAGACCUUUGGGAGCCACAGUUUCAGCACUCUUUCCUGUAGUUUGUGAGUUCAAACAAGGCAAAAUGUUUCCAGCUCUGGAUGCUUUCUUUGAAUAAGAGAGUAGAAGCCGCGUGGGUACUGUGUUUUCAGGUCUCAUGGUGUGCUGCUAAGGCGUUAUGCACAAUGCCAUCUUGAUGGCAUGAACUUGGUAGGUCAUGUUUAUUUUAUUGAAAAGACUCCCUAGGGUCUACCCUGAAGGCACAUUUGCCAUGCUGUUCCAUGGGCUAGGAAGGCCCCUUACCAAAACUGCAGCUCUGUCUGAUGACUUCCUACUGGUCUUUAGGACUCACACCAAAGUCAUGGCUCUGCAGUGCUCUCCUCAGCUUCACCUUUAUGGUCUCUUAAGUUACUUCUAUAGCACAUCAUAUAACAUGACAAUAACUGUAAAUUUAUGUACCCCAGAGGACCUAGUCCAUAGCCCUCAGUUUAUUCAUCAUAGCCAUCAGAAACAUCAUUGUAUUUUAUCCAAUACCUUUAACACCCAACAUCGUCUUUAGUGUAGACGUGGAUAGAGUUGAUGAAGGACAGUUACACGUAGUUGUUUAGACAUGAUUUUCACAUCAUGGAUGUAAUUGUAUUAUCUCAGAAAGAAAGAGUGGUUUGGGUUUCUUUCCUUGCCAUCAAUCCCUGGCAGAUUAUCUGGGCACAGAUAAGAGUCUCUGAGACCAAGAUAUAAUUAUAUCCUGUGCUGGUGAUCAUGAUACUUUUAAUGCUGGUCAAAUCCCUGAGGCCAGAACCUUGCUACGUUCCUUAGAAGCUGAAACACUCUUUCAACGGAAAUAAUUUGAGAGCUGACAGUUUCCAUUUACUAUGGAAUUUACUUACUAUGUGAGCACUUACUAUGUUCCAGGCACUAUGCUAAUCCCUUCACCUAUUGUACUACAUUCCUUAUAGAAAUAUGAUAAGGGAGGAACUAUUAACCCUACUUCCAGAAUAAAACAAAUUUAGGCUUAUAUAUAUAUUACAUAACUUAAGUUCAUAAAGCUAUGAGGUGGCAGAGCUGGGUUUGAACCCUGGUCUUAGAUUCCAAAACUCAUGUGUAUGGUACUCUAAUCAGAGUGCAGCUCUGCAGUGUAAGGAACACUGGGGUUUGUGGCAAGCAUUACAUUCUUUAAUGCUCUCCUGAAUUUUCAAGGUGUCAUAAUUAUAUCAAUAAUAUAAACUACCCAGCCUGGGAAUGAUUUUUUGAAGGAUAUCCCAGCUUGAGAAUCAAUGGGAAUGAUUACUUAAACUCCACUUGGAGAUUUUAGUCAUUUCAUAAUGUUACAUAUAAAAUCAUGUUUCAGUGGAACUGACAUCAUAGGCAAUUCUAUCUUCAAUGUUCUCCGAAGGAUACCCAGACAUCUAGUUUGAAUAGUGACGCUAACACAGUAGGCCCCACAUCUGCAAGCAAAUCCUUUCUCUUGAGUUUAUAACUUAAGAUUCAUUUUAAUUACCUAGUUUUAAAGAGGCAUAUACAGGAUGUAGCAAAUGAAAUCUUGAUACUACCUACUUUGUAUCCUUAUUGAUUUCCAAUUUAUUCUUGCAUUAAUUUCACUUAAUAUUGUCUAGGCUUUUUGUUUGACUAACGGAAAUCCAGAUGAACAUGCUGCUCAUAGUAUCCAUUGAUUAGUGCCAUCAUCACUGAAAUUGACAAUUAAAAUUGAUAAUAUCAUCCCUCAAAUAUCACAGGCCACAAAACACUCUGUGUGUGUGUGUGUGUGUUUGAGUAUAUUUGCAUUCCCAAAAAUUACUGCAAACUCACUGUGCUGACAUUCUGUUUGGCAAAAGGCAUGGAGGGAUUUAAGAGCAAGAAGAUACAAUCUUGGCCCCUUAAGAAGCUCCAUUUAUCAAGAGUUAUCAAUGGAGCAAAGUGACAGGCACUGGGAUAAGCACAUUACAUACCACCAUUAACCACGGCAACAUCCCUACUUUGUAGGAGUUAUUAUCUCCAUCUUGUAGAUGAGAUCAGACAAGUCAAGUUACCUGGCAUUGCCAUGUAUCUUGCAUAAGGCAAGUUGAGAGGCAGAUCUAGGUUUGAAUGGCUCUCAAUUUUCUGCUAUUUCCACUUCACCACUCUCCCUCCUGAAUUGCUUCUUAUUUGAUAAAGAAAAUAAUCAGAUGUGGGAAAGACAGAAAGAGAUAUAUGCGAAUGGGGGCACAAAAAGCAACUAACACUGAUUUGAGAUUCUGGGAAGCUUCAUGAGGAAACUGACAUUGAUUUGGCUCUUAAAGGAUGUUUGGAGCAUGCCAGCUAGAAGGAAGGCAAGCAAGAAGGACACAGCAAUAGCAAGUGGAAAGUUCUAGAGGUAUGAAAUGGCAUGGCAGGUGUGGUGGGAAGUGGUAGGAGACGAGAAUGAAACUGGAGGUAGGGCCUUUUACACUAUGUGAAGGGCUUUGUCCUGGGCAAGUGAUAGUCAUCAUAUGUAAAUAGCAAGAUCAAGCUAUGAUCGGAUGAAUAAUUUUGAAAAGGCAGCCUGCAAAGGACAAAAGUACAGGAGAGAUGUAAGGGAAAAGUACAGGAGAGAUGUAAAGGUAAGGGAAAAGUGAUUAAAGAAAGCAGAUUAAAAAGGCAAAGAUGAGUGGAAUAGAUUAACUGGUGAGCAAAUUUAUGAGUGAAGAAGGGGGUAGAGAAGAAAAAUAUGAGUUGGCUGGGCACGGUGGCUCACGCUUGUAGUCCCAGACAAAUUAAGUGACCCGUCAUUGCUAUGCAUCUUGCAUAACUUUUGGGAGGCUGAGGAGGGAAGACAGCUUCAGCCCAGGUGUUUGAGACCAGCCUGGGCAAUAUGGCGAAACCCUGUCUCUACAAAAAAAAUACAAAAAUUAGCUGGGCAUGGUGGCAUAUGCCUGCAGUUCCAGCUACUUGGGAGGCUGAGGUGGGAGGAUCACCUGAACCUAGGGAGGCCAAGGCUGCAGUGAACCGUGAACAUGCCACUGCACUCCAGAAUGGGUGAUAGAAUGACACAAUGAGACUGUCUCAAAAAAAAAAGAAAGAGAAAGAAAGGAAAGAAAGAAAAGAAAGAAAAGAAAGGAGAAAGAAAGAAGAAAGAAAGAGAGAAAGAAAG